UACUGAAGGGGGCUAGCGUUGUUCGGAAUCACUGGGCGUAAAGCGCACGUAGGCGGACUUUUAAGUCAGGGGUGAAAUCCCGGGGCUCAACCCCGGAACUGCCUUUGAUACUGGAAGUCUUGAGUCCGAGAGAGGUGAGUGGAACUCCGAGUGUAGAGGUGAAAUUCGUAAGAUAUUCGGAAGAACACCAGUGGCGAAGGCGGCUCACUGGCUCGGUACUGACGCUGAGGUGCGAAAGGCGUGGGGAGCAAACAGGAUUAGAUACCCGGCGUAAGUCC
rnacentral:rRNA from 1 species